rnacentral:rRNA from 1 species
GGGAUAAGCCACCGAAAGGUGGUCUAAUACCUUAUAGUAUCCAUCUCGUAUGGAUUAAAGCUUUAUGCGCUUUGGGAGGGGCCUGCGUUUGAUUAGCUAGUUGGUGAGGUAAAAGCUCACCAAGGCGACGAUCAAUAGCUGGUUUGAGAGGAUGACCAGCCACACUGGGACUGAGAUACGGCCCAGACUCCUACGGGAGGCAGCAGUAAGGAAUCUUCCACAAUGGGGGCAACCCUGAUGGAGCAAUACCGCGUGCAGGAUGAAGCGUUUCGGCGUGUAAACUGCUUUAUCACCGAAGAUUAUGACUGUAGGUGAAGAAUAAGGACCGGCUAACUACGUG